UAUAUAUAUAUAUGUGUAUAUAUAUAUACGUAACAUGAAUUAUAGAUUUUCAGUAUUCAAGGUGAAUAAUGGAACGCAGCUAUUGCGGUGCAUUUUACGCAAAAUGUGUGUUGGUGGAUCUUAAAUUCUCGUCUGCCAUUAUCACACGCUGCUCUCUUUUUUCUUUUUCCUCUACUCCUUUUUUUUCAGCGUAACGGAUCUCGAGCUGGAUGAAUUUGACCAGAAACUUCCUUUUCCUCCAGUCUCAAUAAAAGAAUACAAGACACCUGUGUAAAUAAAAAAAUUACUUAAAAAGAUAUAAUUUUGCAAUUCUGUGCGCGUCCCAUUUUUUAUUUCUUCCGUCAUAUUGUUCGUAAUUGUAUAUCAAGGGAAUUUUUAUAUUUAUUUUUCUUUGUAUCAUUUUUUUGUAAUUUUUAUUUGCUCUUUGUAUUCCCGCAGCCUUGGAUUUUUGCAAAUUUUUACGCUAUUUGGGGUAUCUUUUUGCAAAGAAGGGUAAGCAUUGGAUUUAUUUCAAUUUCACAAAAAUAUGUAGAAUGUUUCAGGAUGUAAAAUUCAGGAAGCGGACAUAAUCUUCAAAUUCUUGACGUAGGUAAAUGGAAAUAUAAUAAAAUAUAAACAAUUAAUCUAUUGCCUCAUUAUAGAAUAAGAUGCAUUUUUGCAGUAAUGUUACUGAAUAUGAAUUUGAAGAUACACCUCCUCGUCCUAUCCUAUAAUUAAAAAUAAAAAUGUUCAAGGGACACGAGUUUCAUGUGUAUGAAAUAACGGAAGUAAAACAGCCAAAUGCCGGCGCUCCACUACGUCUUGAAACAUAAUAAUCAAAGAUUUAAAUGAGAUAAUGCAUGCUAUAUUACGCAAGAAUAAUUUAAGACACCACUAUAUAACGACGAAUAAAGGCGCUAGUUUAUAACUUUAUAUGUGCUGUUGUUGCGAGAGCCUAAACUUUCGAGUACAUUUUUUGGCCAGCCGAGUCUUCUAUCCUCGUACGGUUCAUUGCAGCUGAAUUAUGGUAAACAGUCAAUUGAUUCACGAUUGACAAAUACGUACACUUACAUGGGAUCGACGUGAACCGCAAAACCUUAUGCAGUGAUUUCCGAGUCCUAAUUAUUGCGAGAAGUCUACUUCAAGUUCAAGUUCGUCACGUUCCGUCACACAAGCACUGGAACUCAAAUUAAUUUCGUCAAAUCGAUAAAGUCUCGCACAGACACACACUUGCCUGCUGGGUCACGCGUAGAGUAAUUUCCGAUCCAAAUGCUGUUUGGGCGUGACCAAAGCACAAAAUCAUAGGGA